AUAAUGGGUCAGCGACUUAUAUUCUGUAGCAAGGUUAACCGAAUAGGGGAGCCGAAGGGAAACCGAGUCUUAACUGGGCGUUAAGUUGCAGGGUAUAGACCCGAAACCCGGUGAUCUAGCCAUGGGCAGGUUGAAGGUUGGGUAACACUAACUGGAGGACCGAACCGACUAAUGUUGAAAAAUUAGCGGAUGACUUGUGGCUGGGGGUGAAAGGCCAAUCAAACCGGGAGAUAGCUGGUUCUCCCCGAAAGCUAUUUAGGUAGCGCCUCGUGAAUUCAUCUCCGGGGGUAGAGCACUGUUUCGGCAAGGGGGUCAUCCCGACUUACCAACCCGAUGCAAACUGCGAAUACCGGAGAAUGUUAUCACGGGAGACACACGGCGGGUGCUAACGUCCGUCGUGAAGAGGGAAACAACCCAGACCGCCAGCUAAGGUCCCAAAGUCAUGGUUAAGUGGGAAACGAUGUGGGAAGGCCCAGACAGCCAGGAUGUUGGCUUAGAAGCAGCCAUCAUUUAAAGAAAGCGUAAUAGCUCACUGGUCGAGUCGGCCUGCGCGGAAGAUGUAACGGGGCUAAACCAUGCACCGAAGCUGCGGCAGCGACGCUGAUGCGUUGUUGGGUAGGGGAGCGUUCUGUAAGCCUGUGAAGGUGUGCUGUGAGGCAUGCUGGAGGUAUCAGAAGUGCGAAUGCUGACAUAAGUAACGAUAAAGCGGGUGAAAAGCCCGCUCGCCGGAAGACCAAGGGUUCCUGUCCAACGUUAAUCGGGGCAGGGUGAGUCGACCCCUAAGGCGAGGCCGAAAGGCGUAGUCGAUGGGAAACAGGUUAAUAUUCCUGUACUUGGUGUUACUGCGAAGGGGGGACGGAGAAGGCUAUGUUGGCCGGGCGACGGUUGUCCCGGUUUAAGCGUGUAGGCUGGUUUUCCAGGCAAAUCCGGAAAAUCAAGGCUGAGGCGUGAUGACGAGGCACUACGGUGCUGAAGCAACAAAUGCCCUGCUUCCAGGAAAAGCCUCUAAGCAUCAGGUAACAUCAAAUCGUACCCCAAACCGACACAGGUGGUCAGGUAGAGAAUACCAAGGCGCUUGAG
rnacentral:rRNA from 1 species